UACGUAGGGUGCAAGCGUUAUCCGGAAUUAUUGGGCGUAAAGAGCUCGUAGGCGGUUUGUCGCGUCUGCUGUGAAAACUGGAGGCUCAACCUCCAGCCUGCAGUGGGUACGGGCAGACUAGAGUGCGGUAGGGGAGACUGGAAUUCCUGGUGUAGCGGUGAAAUGCGCAGAUAUCAGGAGGAACACCGGUGGCGAAGGCGGGUCUCUGGGCCGUAACUGACGCUGAGGAGCGAAAGCGUGGGGAGCGAACAGG
rnacentral:rRNA from 1 species